UACGUAGGUGGCAAGCGUUGUCCGGAUUUACUGGGCGUAAAGAGCGCGCAGGCGGUCUUGCAAGUCGCGUGUGAAAGCCCCCGGCUCAACUGGGGAGGGUCACGCGAUACUGCUCGACUCGAAGGCAGGAGAGGGAAGUGGAAUUCCCGGUGUAGUGGUGAAAUGCGUAGAUAUCGGGAGGAACACCAGUGGCGAAGGUGACUUCCUGGCCUGUUCUUGACGCUGAGGCGCGAAAGCUAGGGUAGCAAACGGG
rnacentral:rRNA from 1 species